ACCUGGGUGGCUCAGUCGGUUGAGCAUCUGACUUCGACUCAGGUCACGAUCUCGCGGUCCGUGAGUUCGAGCCCCGCAUCGGGCU
rnacentral:tRNA from 1 species